GGCUGUACAGCUUAAGGGUUAGAGCGUUCCUCUUGCUAAGGAAUAGGUCCGGGUUUGAAUCCCGGUGCUGCCU